AUGAAUAUGCUGGCCUGGAACUGUCGAGGCUUGGGGUUGGACUCGACAGUUGGCGAACUUCGUGAACUGGUUAGGUCCCACAACCCAGCGGUGGUGUUCUUGAGUGAAACUAAAAAGAGUGCAAGGGCUAUGGAGAAACUGAAAUGGAGUUUGGGUUUUAGAAGCGGUGUGGCGGUGAGUUGUGUAGGCAAAAGUGGUGGUCUUGCUCUAUGGUGGAGGGAACAUGUGCAGGUGACAAUUCGGCCGUGGUGCCAAUACUUUCUUGAUGCUGAAGUGGUACUGGAUAGCAAAAAUCUUAGAAUCACUGGAUUCUACGGGGAGCCAGAUACCGAGAAAAGGAAUAAAUCAUGGGAUGCAUUAAGAUACUUGCAGACACGGCACAGCCUCCCUUGGUUGUGUGCAGGAGACUUUAAUGAGGCCAUGUUCCAAUUUGACCAGCAAGGUGGCAAUUUGAGAAGUUUCUCUUAG
rnacentral:rRNA from 1 species